rnacentral:rRNA from 1 species
CGGAGUUAGCCGAGGCUGAUUCCUCAGGUACCGUCAUUUGUUCUUCCCUGAGAAAAGGGGUUUACAACCCAAGAGCCUUCCUCCCCACGCGGUCUUGCUCCGUCAGGCUUGCGCCCAUUGCGGAAAAUUCCCC